GAUGAACGCUGGCGGCGUGCUUAACACAUGCAAGUCAAACGGAAAGGCUCCUGCUUGCAGGGGUACUCGAGUGGCGAACGGGUGAGUAACACGUGGGUGAUCUGCCCUGCACUUCGGGAUAAGCCUGGGAAACUGGGUCUAAUACCGGAUAGGACCACAUUUUGGAUGGUGUGGUGGAAAGUUUUUCGGUGUGGGAUGAGCUCGCGGCCUAUCAGCUUGUUGGUGGGGUAAUGGCCUACCAAGGCGUCGACGGGUAGCCGGCCUGAGAGGGUGUACGGCCACAUUGGGACUGAGAUACGGCCCAGACUCCUACGGGAGGCAGCAGUGGGGAAUAUUGCACAAUGGGCGCAAGCCUGAUGCAGCGACGCCGCGUGGGGGAUGACGGCCUUCGGGUUGUAAACUCCUUUCGCUAGGGACGAAGCGUUUUUGUGACGGUACCUGGAGAAGAAGCACCGGCUAACUACGUG
rnacentral:rRNA from 1 species